rnacentral:ncRNA from 2 species
AAAUACUACUAGGGGAGCUAUUUAGGCUGAGAUGAUGUAAUCAGACCCUUAUGACCUGAUUUGGUUAAUACCAACGUAGGAAAGUAGUUGAUGGUAGAU